GAAAUGCGAUACUUGGUGUGAAUUGCAGGAUCCCGCGAACCACCGAGUCUUUGAACGCAAGUUGCGCCCGGAGCCUUCUGGCCGAGGGCACGUCUGCCUGGGCGUCACGCAUCGCUGCCCCCCCCCCCCACACAACACCCCAUGCGGGCUCGUUGCGUAGGCAGGGGCACACGCUGGCCUCCCGUGCGCACCGUCGUGCGGAUGGCUUAAAUUCGAGUCCUCGGCGCACGUCGUCGCGACACUACGGUGGUUGAUCCGACCUCGGUACCACGUCGCGAUCCUGACGUCGCCUCCUUGUGGACUCCUACACCGACCCUCUGAACGCUGUCCCCCCAAAGGAUGACGCUCUCGACGCGACCCCAGGUCAGGCGGGACUACCCGCUGAGUUUAA
rnacentral:misc_RNA from 1 species